rnacentral:lncRNA from 1 species
UGUUUGCUUGUUAUGUGAUGUGUACUGUUUUUUUUCAGAAAACAGGAUGAGAGGAACUCGUCGAUCUGCACGAUUGACUGGAGUGCCACCUGAGGAUGAGGGCAUGAGCGCCCGUCCUCCUACAUUGCCUAGGGCAAUGUCAAGCAGGUCCAACAGGGACAGAACAGUAAGAGACCCUAGAAGGUCUUUGGAUCUGGGUAGAAGCAGAUCAGUCAGAGGAACAGUUCAGGGAGGA